rnacentral:lncRNA from 1 species
CUAGAAACCGUCCAUGAUGCAGCCCUGCUUACCUCUGCAGCCUCAUUACUUCCAUUUCCCCUCUCAUGUAGAACUUCUCUCUUUGUCUGUCACACACCCACGGGGACCUACUGCUCCUCCUCUGUGCCCCUUCCUGGCCCAGACACACAGCCAGCCUUUCAGCCUGCCUAAGUGUAGCCCCUAGCUGCCUUUCCAGGGAUCUGAGCUUCUGAAGGUAGGGACUGAAUCUGUUUUGUUCAGAGCUGGGUCCCAGAGCUCAGCACAGGUAUCUGGAUAUCUUCAUCUUAUGCAUGGAACCCUGGGGGAGAGGGGAGAUGAAGGGAUGAGAUCCUAUGUGUCUGGGGAGGAGCUGGGGAUCCCCACCUCUUGGAGCAGCUCCUCCAGGUAGGAAAAGGUAGGCCUGUCCUCAGGAUGGGGGAGCCCAACAGCGCAAGGCAACAGAGUAGAGGGCCCUGGAGCAGAAAGGAGGCCUCGGUAGCCGGGAUCGGUCCUUCUCCAGCAGCUGCAGGAUGAGGAUCCACCCUAAAUGAGUAAGCACUUGCUGGAGGUACCCUCCCCGGACGCUGGGAAUGUAGGCAGAAACGGACACAGCCUGGCCCUAACAGGCUUCAACCCAGAACACAGGGGUGUUGAUGUUGGUCCAGAAGCUGCCAGACAUCUGGGCUGCUAUGGGAAGCUGCUGUCAUCUGCAUCUCUUGGAGGGAAAGCCCUUCUUGUAUUGGUAAACAACAGGAUGUUCCAGAAUUCUCAAUAGGAAAGUCUUUAUAAUGCAGUUCUACAUGAAUUGUCUUCUUGCCAAUUCUCUUGGCCUCCAAACAGGGCAGCUCAGCACACUAUAAUUGUUCCCUCUGUGCCUGUCAUCCCUGACACACUGUGAACUCCACAGGAUAGGGACAGGGCCAGUCUUAUUUAUCUUUGUGUUCUAAGUGUCUAGGACAAUAUAAACACAGUAUAGUCUAGGCACAAUGCAUAUCAGUUGUAAAGAAAUCUGCUCACAGGGCCCGGGAUUUAGCUCAUGGUGUCACCACCUGCCUCGCAAGCACAAGGUUCCGAGUUUGAUCCCUGGUACAAAAAAAAAAAAAAAAAAAAUCUGCUCAAAACAAGGCAUUUCUGUAAUCCAGAACUCUUAAGAGCCUGAGGUGGGAGGAUUACAAUUUCAAGCACAGUCUGG